rnacentral:rRNA from 1 species
UACAGAGGUCCCGAGCGUUGUUCGGAUUCACUGGGCGUAAAGGGUGCGUAGGUGGUGGGGUAAGUCGGAUGUGAAAGCUCGGAGCUCAACUCCGAAAUGGCAUUGGAAACUACCCUGCUGGAGGUUUGGAGGGGGGACUGGAAUACUUGGUGUAGCAGUGAAAUGCGUAGAUAUCAAGUGGAACACCAGUGGCGAAGGCGAGUCCCUGGACGACUCCUGACACUGAGGCACGAAAGCUAGGGGAGCAAACAGG